rnacentral:sRNA from 1 species
CUACCCUUACCUUCUAGCCCUGGGUCACCAGGUAGGCUCCAGAGGAGCUGGGCCCUGACUUUUACCUUAGCCAUGAGGCCAGUGAAGUUAGGAAGCUUACAUCGUGGUUGUCUAAGUGUGUGUUAGGGACAGCACUGGGGAGCUGUUGCCCCAGAGGGAGGGGUCCUCUCCCUGUGCUAGCUUGGGUCCCUGUGCCCAUGGGGACAUAGGUGUGUCCCUGGAGGGUCGCUUACCAUUUCCCGGCCUCAGGAUUAUCAAUGCAGAGAAAUCUGAAUUCAAUGAGGAUCAAGCCGCCUGUGGGAAGCUGUGCAUCCGGAGAUGUGAGUUUGGGGCUGAAGAAGAGUGGCUGACCCUGUGCCCAGAGGAGUUCCUGACAGGCCAUUACUGGGCACUGUUCGAUGGGCACGGCGGUCCUGCAGCAGCCAUCUUGGCUGCCAACACCCUGCACUCCUGCUUGCGCCGGCAGCUGGAGGCCGUGGUAGAAGGCUUGGUGGCCACUCAGCCCCCCAUGCACCUCAAUGGCCGCUGCAUCUGCCCCAGUGACCCUCAGUUUGUGGAGGAAAAGGGCAUCAGGGCAGAAGACUUGGUGAUCGGGGCAUUGGAGAGUGCCUUUCAGGAAUGUGAUGAGGUGAUCGGGCGGGAGCUGGAGGCCUCAGGCCAGGUGGGCGGCUGCACAGCCCUGGUGGCUGUGUCCCUGCAGGGAAAGCUGUACGUGGCCAAUGCUGGGGAUAGCAGGGCCAUCUUGGUGCGGAGAGAUGAGAUACGGCCACUGAGCUUCGAGUUCACCCCAGAGACUGAGCGGCAGCGGAUCCAGCAGCUGGUAGGUGCCCUUGGCAGCAUGGAGGCUGUGAAGACCCAACUCCUGGGUCCAGGGCCAUAAGAAGGAGUAUGACCUGAGCGCAGCCUCCCCACCCUAGGCCUUUGUCUACCCUGAGCUUCUGGCUGGCGAGUUCACCCGACUGGAGUUCCCUCGGCGGCUGAAGGGGGAUGACUUGGGACAGAAGGUUUUGUUCAGGGAUCACCACAUGAGUGGCUGGAGCUACAAACGUGUGGACAAAUCGGAUCUCAAGUACCCACUGAUCCACGGACAGGGUAGGCAGGCUCGGUUACUAGGAACACUGGCUGUCUCCCGGGGCCUGGGAGACCAUCAGCUCAGAGUCCUGGACACAAACAUCCAGCUCAAGCCCUUCUUGCUCUCUGUCCCACAGGUGACUGUGCUGGAUGUGGACCAGCUGGAGCUACAGGAGGAUGAUGUGGUUGUCAUGGCAACUGAUGGACUCUGGGAUGUCCUGUCCAACGAGCAGGUGGCAUGGCUGGUGCGGAGCUUCCUCCCUGGGAACCAAAAGGACCCACACAGGUUCUCAAAGCUGGCCCAGAUGCUGAUACACAGCACACAGGGAAAGGAAGACAGUCUCACAGAGGAAGGGCAGGUGUCCUACGAUGACGUCUCUGUGUUCGUGAUUCCCUUGCACAGUCAGGGCCAAGAGAGCAGUGGCCACUGAGGAUUCAGACACUGUAUCCCAGAACUGCUCUAGUGCCCGGGUGUGGUCUGGGCAUCCCUCCAGUGUGACCAAGAGCAAAUCCUGCCUGCCCUAUCCCUAGCCACCGCCCAGUGCUCUCACUAUCCAUCUCAACACACAUCCAUCUCAAGAGGAACAUUUAUACCAGGCAGUCAGAGCUGGAAGUGUAUGGAGAGCCCAGCCCUCCAGGUCCUGCCUUUUGCGGUGAUAACCUUCUCUGGCAGAGUGACUUUACAGCUUAACUAGGAAACCCAUGUGAGGCUCCUCAGACAGGAUCUUCAACAGCCCAAAGUAUCAUUCUCAGAUAGGGGGACCCAGGCUAAGGGUAUUAGCCAAAGAUGCCAGGAUGGGCAGCUAGCCCAUGUUUAGAUCCAGGUCUCCAAUUCAUGGAUGUCAGGGCAUGAGUUCAACAACCCCCAAAGUCCACGCAGGGUGGCUUGUAGAAACCUUUGGGCAGCCUCAUGUCUGCUAAAACUGCCAUCUUCAAGACAGCCCCUGAAAAAAGACCAGUUCAGGUCCUGCCCUGCUGUUCUUUGCUGGAGAUGAGGAACAGGCGCUGGGGCUAAAGUUUGGGGCAGAGCACAAGGGACAAGAGGAACUCUUGGAGUUGGCUGGGUGAGAGGGCUCUCCAUUUGCUACCUGUAGUAGCCUGCCUCCUAACUAACGGUUGAUUCUCCCUAGUUCCAGCCCUGCCCUGGUCUGAUGCCCCAACACUGCCCUUGCUUUGUUUUCCCCGUCACCUCCCUAUUAUUAAAUGUUUUCUACAGAA